rnacentral:lncRNA from 1 species
CCAUUUCUAGGGAAGGAAUCCUGAGCAGCAAUGUCUAAUUUGAAAGUGGAGUAGUAGAGGCAGGAAGAGAAGGCAGGGUUAUGAAGCAGAAGGUAGCACUGCUUCUCACCAGAGCAUCUGCCCUCACCAGUGAGCCUCCAUUUACCACUGUACUCCACUACAUCCUGGGGUGCUCACCUGCCACGGUGUGCCCCACUUCAUCAUGGGGCACCUCAGUUCCCCACACCAUACUCCAUCAUGGGUACCUCAGCUCCCCACACCGUACCCCACUUCAUCAUGGGGCACCUCAGCUCCCCACACUGUCCCAUCACGUGGGCACCUCAGCUCCCACACCAUACGCCAUCAUGGGUACCUCAGCUCCCCACACCAUACUCCAUUCAUCAUGGGCACCUCAGCUCCCCACACCAUACUCCAUUCAUCAUGGGCACCUCAGCUCCCCACACUAUACUCCAUUCAUCAUGGGCACCUCAGCUCCCCACACCGUUCCCCACUUCAUCACGGAGUACCUCAGCUCCCCACAGUGUACCUCCUUCAUCCAGGGUACCUCAGCUCCCACACCAUACCCCACUUCAUCAUGGGGUAGCUCAGCUCCCCACACCAUACCCCACUUCAUCAUGGGUACCUCAGCUCCCCACACCGUACCCCACUUCAUCAUGGGGUACCUCAGCUCCCCACACCGUACCCCCACUUCAUCAUGGGGUACCUCAGCUCCCCACACCGUACCCCCACUUCAUCAUGGGGUACCUCAGCUCCCCACACCUACCCCACUUCAUCAUGGGGUACCUCAGCUCCCCACACCAUACCCCCACUUCAUCAUGGGGCACCUCAGCUCCCCACACUGUACCCCCACUUCAUCAUGGGGUAGCUCAGCUCCCCACACCAUACCCCCACUUCAUCAUGGGGUAGCUCAGCUCCCCACACUGUACCCCACUUCAUCCCAGGGUCACUCAGCUCCCCACAGUGUACCCCAAUUCAUCCCAAGGCCGCUCGGCUCCCCACGGUGUACCUCACUGCAUUGCAGUGCCAGUCAGCAUACCACCUCAUACUUCACCAUAAGUGCCUGAGAAGUGCCGUGUCCGGCGUGUGGCAUGCUCUGUGAGG